UACGUAGGGACGAGACGUUGUCCGGAAUUAUUGGGCGUAAAGAGCUUGUAGGUGGCUCGUUGCGUCGGGAGUGAAAACCUGCGGCUUAACCGCAGGCCUGCUUCCGAUACGGGCGAGCUAGAGUUCGGCAGGGGAGACUGGAAUUCCUGGUGUAGCGGUGGAAUGCGCAGAUAUCAGGAGGAACACCGGUGGCGAAGGCGGGUCUCUGGGCCGAUACUGACACUGAGAAGCGAAAGCGUGGGGAGCGAACAGG
rnacentral:rRNA from 1 species